CUCUAUCUUGUUUUCAUUUUUUAGUAUUGCAUUAGAUGUGCAGUCAUCAUAAGAACUAAUUUUCCUUAUAGGAUGCUUCAGAAGCUUUUCUCCAUCUUCUGAUCUCAUUGAGGGAUGAAUUUGCCCAUUGUUAUGUACCACAUAGGAGUUCUCUGGCAGACAUCACCCUUUCUGACUCCAAAGUAUACAAGCAAAGGGAAGGUAACCUGCCUGAAUGCAAGCGGUGGAAACAAAACCUAUUUGGCCCCUUUGAUGGGACAGUUGGCAGCAUAUUGUCUUGCAGAAACUGUUCUUCUGUGCUGUCAUUGGACUUCGAGAAUUUCCACUGCUUGCCUCUUUUGCCAGUCCUUAAUGCAAAUGGAGAUAUUACCAGUGGGUGUAGCUUGGUGGAUUGCCUAAAGUACUUCACUGUGGUGGAGCAUCUUGACAACUAUCGUUGUGACCGGUGUUGGCACAUCAUUGCUGCCAAAUAUCUUUCUCUUAGAUCAGAAGUUGAUGAGGAAAAGGUUAGCAAAGCUUCAAUCCUGUUUUGACUAUGGCACUUGCAGUUGCAGGGAUAUGUUCCCCCUGGAGUCACUGCCAUGUUCAUCAUCUUCACGAGCAACAAAGCAGCUGAUUAUCAGUCAGUGCCCGAAGGUAUCCAAAAUUUAAGUACUCGUUGAGACUCACAUCAACUGUCAUAAAAUUAAGUAACACCUCAGUUGUUUCUCAUCCAAAUACCAGUGGAGACAAAGAUGUGACUUCGGAUAACAAAUCUCAGCAUGGAUCUUCAGAAUUACCUCCUAGAGCUGAAUUUAUUGGCAACAAACAAAUGACAGUAGAAAGGUACAAGGCGCAUCCUGGACAUGUUAAUUACAUCCUAGGAAGAACAGAAAGGAUAUGUGAUUGUUGAAGGAGCGCAUCUAAGCCUUAACUUUGUGGUACAUAUUAGCCAAGUAAUGGUGCAGGAGUAUUUCAUAAAAUUGUAGGGCGCCCGCAAGGGCGCCUUAUGUUCUAGUAUCUUGAAAAAAUGCAUCGUGUAGGCGUUCUGCCGGCCGCCGGCUAGGGUUACGGGUUACCUGCACGAGGUCCGUCGCGUCUCGGUGGUGUCCGUGCGAGGAGAAGCCGAGGGGGCGAGGGGGUGUACCUGAGUGGGCCGGCAUGGCAAUGAGGAAGUUUAGAGGACAGGCCCAAACAUCGUUUGGGCUACAAUGACUCAACGAGCAAACCUGGUAAAAUUCAUGACUGGACCUUUA